ensembl:lncRNA
CUGCACGAAUCAGGUGGUGUCCAGCGCGCAGGCGCAUACUUAUUCUCUGCGCGGCGUCCGUUUCUCCAGACUUUCCACUUUUGGCAAGCUAUGUUCCCUGGCUUGUGUCCAGUCUACAAAAGGUCUUAAAACCACGGAGCAGGGCUUUAAGCGUUUAGGAUCUCGCUUUUUGCAGGCUUUUGACAAGAAGGCUCAGAUCUCCACUAACCAGUGGCCACAUUUUACCAUCAUGAUCAUUGAGUAGCUCACAACCAAACCGUUUGCUUUAUCACAGCAAGAAGAGUGAGGAGAGCCAAAAAUGUCACAGAAGAAAGACAACUCAGAACAACCACCCUCAGCCUCCCAAGUCCAGGACACUGGGUCGACGACUCUUCACAACUUCUUCAGGCUGAAUAUGGAUGUUGAGAUAUCUUGAAGGGGGCUAGGGAAAAUGGCCUUAAGAAGGCCACCCAACAAUUGAUGCAGUCUCUGAUGUUUGUCCUGACUGGAUCUGGCCAAAAGCCCCUGAGAUCAGGAGUUCAAGCAGCUUUUACCUGCCCUUCUUGAGAUGAAAAAGACGGUCAUUUUGAAAUGAACAGCUGUCACUAUUGUAUGACAACCCAAAUACAUGCAAUGUUCAAUCACACCACUCAGAAGUCUUUGCUGAAAGUCACGGACGGCUUACAUGCUCACAAUAUAAAUAUUUACAGUUCAUUUUGGAAAUUUUUAUAAUCAGCUAUAUUAGUAUGAAAAUGC